GCCAGGCAUGGUGGUGGUGCAUGCCUGUAAUCCCAGCUACUCGGGAGGCUGAGGCAGGAGAAUCACUUGAACCCGGGAGACAGAGGUCUCAGUGAGCAGAGAUUGUACCCACUGCACUCCAGCCUGGGUGACAGAGUGAUAUUCUGUCUCAA
rfam:Papio anubis isolate 1X1155 chromosome 17, whole genome shotgun sequence.